rnacentral:rRNA from 1 species
UACAUGUGGGGCAAGCGUUGUUCGGAAUUACUGGGCAUAAAGGGUGCGUAGGUGGCUUGGUAAGUCAGCGGUGAAAUCAUCCGGCCCAACCGGAUGCCUGCCGAUGAUACUGCCGAGCUUGAGUGCGGUAGGGGAGUGUGGAAUUCCCGGUGUAGCGGUGAAAUGCGCAGAUAUCGGGAGGAACACCAGUAGCGAAGGCGGCACUCUGGGCCGUGACUGACGCUGAGGAGCGAAAGGGUGGGUAGCAAACAGG